AACGGGGGGGGCAAGCGUUAUUCAUCUUUAAUUGGCGUAAAGGGUAUGUAGGCGGGCGUAUGCUUUUCUAGAGAAAUAACAAAAUAAGGUUUUUGUUGGUUUAGUGAAGUCAACGGCCUUGAGACCGCGGGUGGUUAGCAGAAUUACUAAUGUAGGGGUAAAAUUUGCUGAUCUUAGUACGAAUACCGACCGCGAAGGCAGCUUUCUCCCAACUCUGACGCUGAGGUACGAAAGCAUGGGUAUCAAACAGG
rnacentral:rRNA from 1 species